UGAGAGCAAUCUGGCUGCGACAUCUGUCACCCCCAUUGAUUGCCGGGGUUGAUUCAGCUGAUCUGGCUGGCUAGGCAGGUGUCCCCUUCCUCCCUCA
rnacentral:sRNA from 1 species